rfam:Kibdelosporangium phytohabitans strain KLBMP1111, complete genome.
GCCGGUCCUCGGUAGUGGCUUCCGGGUAGGAAAGAGGAACCCGGGGGCUUCGAUCGAAGACCGGC